CUUGAACUCGGGAGGCGGAGGUUGCAAUGAGCUAAGAUUGCACCACUGCACUCCAGCCUGGGCGACAGAGCAAGACUCCGUCUCAAAAAAACAAAACAAAAAAAAGAAAACAGUUUGAAAAUUUCCCUGUAAAGUAAAACUUACAUUUACCAUGUAUGUUGCAGCAAUCUCCCUCUUAGGUGUUUACCCAGUGGAAAUGAAAGCUUAUGGGUCACACAAAAACUUAUUACAUGAAUACUUAGAGCAACUUUUAUUUAUAAUUGCCAAGAAUGAAAACCUAAUGUCCUUCAGCUGAUGGAUGUACCAACCAACUGGGGUACAUCCAUCCAAUGGAAUAUUAUUCAGCAAAGAAACCCCAAAUUAUUGAUACUCUCAACAGAAUGCAAGAAUCUUAAAAUAAUUAUGCUGAAUGAAAGAAGUCCAACUCAAAAGACUACAAACUAUACAAUUCCAUUUAUAUGACCUUCUGGAAAAGGGAAAGCCUUAGGGAUGGAGAUGUCCUGGGUUAGAGAUGGGAGAGAGCUGGAUUUCAAAGGAUGGUGAGAAAGACUUUUGAGGUGGGUGGAACUUUUCUGUCUUGAUUGUGGUGCUGGUUCCAUGAUCCUGUGCAUUUGUCAAAACUCAUAGAACUGUAGACGAGAGAGAGAGACAGAGAAAGGAAUUGCAUUGUACGUAAAUUUUAAAAAUAACUAUAAAAUGUGAGGGUUGGUUUCUGAACAGAGACCUAAUAAGUUAUCUGAGUAAUAUUAGUAUUAACCUUUAUUGAGCAUUUACUUUGUGCCAGGUGUUAUCUUGUGAAGUCCUCAAAACUAGCCACUGGGGUAGAUAUUAUGAGGUAGAGCUCCAGAGAGAACUGGAGGCUCAGAGAGGCUACAGUCAGCAGAGUCCAACUCAACCCCAGGUGGGUGAGGCUGCGAGGCCUGUGCAAGGUUCCCCGGGGCUGCAGCCUGCCCUCCCCUCCCCUUUUCUUUCCCUCCUGAAUCCUCCCCUUCCUGCCAGCACCUCCCUAUCCCGGCCCCUCCCAUCCUUCCCAGAAAAGCCUUCUCCACUCAUGUCACUUCUUUGAUGUAAAUUCCAGUGAGUAAGGAGGACGAUUUGGUCAAAGGUAUGAAAAUAUUUCUGACUUUUGAUCAAAUUUCUGUUCCUAUCCUUAAAUCAAUUUACAACCAGAUGGUGUCAUACCAAAGCACCUUGGGUACUUGGAGGAAAAUGUUCCUUUGUCCAGAGUCUCCUGCAGUGAUGUGGCUGCCCCUUCUUCCUCCACACCCUGUACUCUUUCCCAUUUCCAGUCCCUCUGCUGCCCUCAUACCUGGAGGCCACUCUUCUUUCCCAUUUCCAGCCCCUCUGCUGCCCUCAUACCUGGAGGCCAUUCCUCUCUGUGUCUGGAGGCUGUUCUGACCUAAGCUCCUUUAUCAGCAAAGUGGGUCCACUGUUCCUUUCCCUCCUCCCUCACCGUCUCCAUCUCAAUUCUUAGCCUUUUCCAAUUUUUCCAAUUCUUAGCCAAUUCUAGCCAUCUCCUGGCUGCCCAAUUCUUAGCCUUUCCUUCACCCUCACCCUUCUUGUCAGGCCACUGUUUCCCAAGGAUAUUUCUUGCAUGAGGCUGAUGCUGAGUCCUUUGAGAGGAAGAGACCUACAGCUGGGAGAGGGGGCUCCUACAAGGAGGAGGCAGCAGGUUGCAUAGCCCAGGCUCAGGUGCCCGCUGGGGAUGACCCAGGAAAACACCCACCAAGCCAGCAUGUUAGGGGGCACCCUCACCUAGGAAAGUGAGGUACAAGACAGGGAGUGUGUACUCUGCAUAAAUAAAAAUGCCCUAGGAUGAGGAUGUGGAAGGAGAACUAGAGGAUUAUUCCUGUUUUGUUCUCUGUACUUGGAGAAACCCUCUGUGCUUCUCAUAUCACGGGGCCUGUGGGGCUGAAAACAGGGUGGCUUGAAGACAUCCUCUCCUACUCUCCCCUCCCCUUUCUUCAGCUCCCCUCCCCUCUCCUCGGUGCUGUGGGUGCCUCUGCUCAUGGAGGGAACCAUGUGGCUGAGGCUGUUGUGAUUCUUUCUGAUUUGGUCUUGUGGUCUCUUUCUGCAGAGUUCCUAUAAACUGUGCCCCACCUAAUGGGCCUCGGGGAUUUGGUGGUGGAUGUGUACAGCACGCCUUUCACAAGAUUCUUCUUUAUCCUGGCAGGUGGCCUCAUGCCUGAGGGUGAGACCCAUGGUCUGGUGUUGCUCUCACAGGAAUCUUGUUCAUACUGGCAGACUCCUUGUGGCUCCCAUCUGACCUGUUUCCAGCUAUUCCCAAUAAGAUAGCCACUCUUUAGGCCAGCCCUGACUAGGAGAGGAGCUAGGUUCUGGUGCAUCUGUCCGGGGAGACAGAGGAGGCAACUGGACAAAGCACAUAGAGUCACAGAAGCAGCAUAUUCCUCACAGAUCCCAGAGAGAAGAAGGCAGAAUACCUCACAUGGCUAGCGGAAUGGAGGGAGCUGCCUGGGGCACACACACACACAACCACUGGGUGGGGAUCGAGAGAGAGGAGGACCUGUAAGCUGAGGCCUUAAGUGGGGUCCAGGGGUCUACCCCAGGCAGGUUUCCCAUAGGGAGUUCUAAUUGAUGGGUUUAGAGCAAGCAGGCACCGGUUCCAUGUAAUCACGCCAUGACUGAGAGGUGGUCAUUGCAGCAUAUCUGUGAGGUCCAUGUGGGGUCAGUGGGGUGAGUCAAGUAGGUUGUAUCCAGCUGUCUCGUAGGGCAGUGGUCACCAGGAGGUGUUUGUAUAAGGCAGAUGUCUGGAUUGAUCACAUUGAGGAACUGGAAGGAGGUGGAGAGCUGGAAACUGUGUUAAGGAAAAAAGUUUGCGGGUUCCCGGGCCAUGCUCUCAUUAUUGUUGGCGUUAUGAGGAAAUGCAGAUACAGCAGCAGAAGGAAGAUCUGAGAGAAGAAGACAACAGGGUCACUGAAGUUGUGUUAAAGUGGUGCAGCACAUUUGCCCUCUUUUUUUUUUGUACUUUCAAGACUGGCCACAAUGCUGAAUUUCAACGAAAGCACCCAUAAGGAAGCCUGCCUUUUGAUGUGCUCAGCCUGCGAGGGUCGGGAGGAAGAGAGGGGCCUGCCGCCUCGCGCCCUGCCCGCGCGCCCUCUGUGGGUGCCGCUGGUCCCGGUGUGGCCGGCAGGGGGCGCGCGCGCCAUUCCCGGGCUCGCCGGGCGGGGCGGGGGCGCUUCCGAAGCUGAGCCGAGGACGCCGUGUUCCGCCGGUCCGGAGCGCCGCUACUCCGCGACCUGAGCCUGGCUCAGCAGCUCUGCCAGGCGUGCUUCCGCGCAGGGUGGCCGGACGUUCUGGGGAAGUUGCCCCGGGCCCAGCACAACGCCUGCGGGGGAGGGGUAGGAACCGUCGAGAUCUCGCAGGGGGGCCCACAGGCCACCCCCAGGGUCGCCUCCGCCCCCGCUGCCCUGCGGGCUACCGGCUCCAGUGGCGGGCCAGGACAGGGCAGCGCGAAGAGGAAACGCGCCCCGGCGCUAGGCCCCCCUCCCAAGGAAGGGGUCAAGCGGGCUCUGCCCUGCCCUACUAGUGUGACUGCUGGCUUCUGGGGGCUCAGCUCCCCGACUGUAGAGGAAGAGCUAGAAAAGCGAUUCCCGAGAAGGGGAAUCAUUGUAAGCAGUUACUGCACUGUAAAGUGGCAGAGGGCUUGCUUGGUAGCGGAGAAUCAAUCGGGUUACUCUUCCUUCCUCACGGGAAGGGCAUUUGUAAAUUCCGCGUUGCAGAGACAGCCGGUGCUGGCCAGUUGCCUGGCAAGCGUGUGCUCACGCACACAUCAGCUGCAUCCAUGAGGGAGAUGAUCCUAUCUUAGCGUGGCAGGGCCAGAAAGGGGCUGAGAGUCUGGGCCCAGUACUGCUGGACUGUGCAGCCUUCGCUCUGUUCUCCUUCAGUGAUGACUCACUCUCUCCUGAAAGAAGACCACACUGCCCCGGAGACACAGGAGGCCUUCUGACCUGGCCCGGUUGCCCUUCCUGGAGAUGCCCCUCCUUCCCCAGAAGGCAGGCUCAGCUCAUGGAUGGUGCAGUCAGUAAGGGGAACUCAGUGCUGCCCAGGUCCCAGUCCACUGUGGACACCUGCAUGAUCUGACACUUCCCCAUGAGGACUUUUGAGAAGCCAGAUGACUUGUUUGAAUUAUCCAGUUCAGCUCCUGAGCCUCCUCUGCAAGAUCCUACCAAGCAAACUUGGGGUGUUUCCCCUGCUCCCCUAUUUCUGGUAUUAACACCUUCCCCAGAACACCAGACUAUUCCUGUUAUGACGAGUAAAGACCUCUUAGUAUUGUAACUUAAGGGGGUCACACCAUGGCAACAUUCUAUUUUUUUCCUUUUUGUGUACUAGCUAGAAUUACUCUAUUUAUUUACUUCAGGCAUUUACUUGUUGUAAUUAUCUGAUUUUGUGUCCCUGAAAUAGUUUUUGCAGAAAAAUCAGGAUAAAUUAUUGAUUCUGCCCCUUUUAUUUUUUAUAGUUUUUAGAAGGGGUUUAUUUUUUAUAAUCCAAAUGUGCCCAAGUAAGGUUUGUUUGUUGAGAAGUGCCUUUCCAAACCCCUCAAUUUUUAUUUUAUUUAUAUUUAUUUAUUUAUUUAUUUAUUCAUUUUGAGACAGAGUCUUGCUCUGUCUCCCAGGUUGGAGUGCAGUGGCACCUUGUAUUAGUCCGUUUUCAUGCUGCUGAUAAAGACAUACCCCAGAAUGGGAAGAAGAAGAGGUUUAGUGGACUUGCAGUUCCACAUGACUGGGGAGGCCUUACAAUCGUGGUGGAGGGCAAGGAAGAGCAAGUCAGGUCUUACACGGAUGGCGGCAGGAAAAGAGAGAGAACUUGUGUAGGGGAACUCCUCUUUAUAAAACCAUCAGAUCUCAUGUGAGACUUAUUCACUAUCAUGAGACCAGCACGAGAAAGACCUGCCCCUGUGAUUCACAGGGACCCACUGGGUCCCUCCCAUGACACAUGGAAUUGUGGGAGUUACAAUUCAAGAUGAGAUUUGGGGGGAAACACAGCCAAACCCUAUCAAGCCAUCUCGGCUCUCUGCAACCUCCACUUCCCAGGCUCAAGUGAUUCUCCUGCCUCAGCCUCCUGAGUAGCUGGGAUUACAGGCAUGCGCCACCACACCUGGAUAAUUUUUGUAUUUUUUAUAGACAUGGGGUUUCAUCAUGUCGGCCAGACUGGUCUUGAACUCCUGACCUCGUGCAAUCCACCUGCCUCAGCCUCCCGAAGUGUUGGGAUUGCAGGAGUGAGCCACUGUGCCUGGCCCUCAAUUUUUAACAUGUAUGUUUCCAUUCAUUGCUGAGCUGUUUAACCUUAUAUAAUGUUAAAGAAAACAGAUGGCAGCUAGGUAACAAGAGCCCUGUCAAUGGGCAUCCCCUUCUCCUAUGUUCCGUUUCUGGGAAUCAACUUAAAGAGACCAUUAAAAACCAGAUUUGCACAAAAUCAAACAAACAUAUUGGUUGAAGCAUUUAAAAGAAUGAAAGUUUGGAAAUAAUCUCAUUAUUCAAUAGUUAUUCAGUAGUUGCUUAAUAAAAUGUGGCAUAUCCAUUUGAUGGAAUAUUAUAUAGCAAUUAAAAUGAUAUUUCUUAAAACUAUGUAUGUCUUCAAGCAUCUUUAUUGAGGUAUACAUACCAUAAAAUUCAUCCAAUUUGAAAUGUACAUUCAGUGACUUUUAGUAAACCAUCACAAUUCAGUUUUAGAACAUUAUCACCACCCCCAAAAUUUCCUCCUACCCAUUUGCAAUCAAUCCCAGCUACCAUUUUUGACUCCAGGCAACUACUGACCUG
rnacentral:lncRNA from 10 species